CCUGGGGCGGGGCGGGGCGGGCGGGGGCUUGGGCCGGAGGGGGAAGAUGAGCGCUCUCCUAGAGCAGAAGGAGCAGCAGGAGAGGCUGCGGGAGGCCGCGGCCUUGGGGGACAUUCGGGAGGUGCAGAAACUGGUGGAGAGCGGGGUGGAUGUGAACUCCCAAAAUGAGGUCAACGGCUGGACCUGUUUACACUGGGCAUGUAAGCGCAAUCACGGUCAGGUGGUCUCCUACUUAUUACAAUCAGGAGCUGACAAAGAGAUUCUUACGACAAAAGGAGAAAUGCCAGUACAAUUGACAUCAAGGAGAGAAAUCAGGAAGAUCAUGGGAGUGGAAGAAGAUGAUGGUGCUGACAGCCUCCCCCAGCUGAAGAAGGAGUCAGAACUGCCCUUUGUUCCCAACUAUUUGGCCAACCCAGCCUUCCCUUUCAUCUACACCCCUGCGGCAGAGGAUCCAGGCCAGCUACAGAACGGGGGUCCCUCCACACCGCCGGCAUCGCCCGCUGCAGAUGGCUCUGCUCCAUUGCUCCCCACGGGGGAGCCUCCCCUGGCUGGGGCCUUUCCACGGGACCACACCUCUUUGGCACUGGUUCAGAACCGGGACGUGUCUGCCCCCUCUGCCAUACUCAGAACACCAGAAAGCACAAAACCGGGUCCUGUCUGUCAGCCACCAGUGAGUCAGAGCCGCUCGUUGUUCUCUUCUGUCCCGUCCAAGCCACCAGUGUCUCUGGAGCCUCAAAAUGGGACAUAUGCAGGCCCGACGCCAGCAUUCCAGCCGUUCUUCUUCACGGGGGCAUUUCCAUUUAAUAUGCAAGAGCUGGUACUCAAGGUGAGGAUUCAGAACCCAUCUCUUCGAGAAAAUGAUUUCAUUGAAAUUGAACUGGACCGGCAGGAGCUCACCUAUCAAGAAUUACUCAGAGUGAGUUGCUGUGAGCUGGGUGUUAAUCCAGAUCAGGUGGAGAAGAUCAGAAAGUUACCCAAUACUCUGGUAAGAAAGGAUAAAGACGUUGCUCGACUCCAAGACUUCCAGGAGCUGGAACUGGUUCUAAUGAUAAGUGAGAACAAUUUUCUGUUCAGAAAUGCUGCAUCCACACUGACUGAAAGACCUUGCUACAACAGGAGAGCUUCCAAACUGACUUACUAAUGCAGCAGGGACUUUCCCCGCUGAGUAUUGUGACAGUGCGCGUCCCCUCUGGGCCAAGGACCAGCCAUGGAUGGAAAUGCCUUGGGCGCCACUGUGUAGCAUACACUAACAUCAUUCUGCCAAGGGCUCCCCCACUACCACCACCAGUCCACUUAACAAAGCCAGUCGAGAGCUUCCUGGGCUUUGUUCUGGAAGACACCUGAUUAAACUCUGGAGCAUGGCACACGAAUGUUUCUUUAAAGAGCGCAUUCAAGAAUUCUUUUUCUCUCCUUCAGUGUCAUUAAUGGUAAAAGAGCCACUGUCUUGUUGAGACAAACAGCUUAACUUUAGAAGCAAGAACGAGCACACUUGGACAAACAGGAGGGCAGGGGUUCGAAGCCAGCUGAAGAGCAUCCCUGCUGUCUUAAGAAGCUUUUUCCCCAUAGUGCCUAUAGUUUCCAAAGAAACUGAACUUCCUAACUGUGUUAAUUUUAUUGGAACACUGCGACUAAUUGAGCGAGAACAUGCAGAAGAUGUCAACGGAAGAGAAUGUUGUGCUAAGCGAAUGGCCUCCCGCUGCUGCCUCAGGGCCGAGCUGAGGCCGAGGUGUUUUCAAGGCCAGCUUCACGGAGUCACUGUGUCCGGUGACUUACCCGUAUUCCACUAGUUACUGAUGUGACUUAAUCACCCUUGUACAGUGUUUGCAUCACUGAGUAAAGGUUACUUACUA